UACGGGGGGUGCGAGCGUUAAUCGGAAUAACUGGGCGUAAAGGGCACGCAGGCGGUGACUUAAGUGAGAUGUGAAAGCCCCGGGCUUAACCUGGGAAUUGCAUUUCAUACUGGGUCGCUAGAGUACUUUAGGGAGGGGUAGAAUUCACGUGUAGCGGUGAAAUGCGUAGAGAUGUGGAGGAAUACCGAAGGCGAAGGCAGCCCUUGGAAUGGUACUGACGCUCAUGUGCGAAAGCGUGGGGAGCAAACAGGGAUUAAGAUACCCGUGAGUCC
rnacentral:rRNA from 1 species